GUAGGGGGCAAGCGUUGUCCGGAUUUACUGGGCGUAAAGCGCGCGUAGGCGGAAGGUGAAGCGUGGCCUGAAAGCCCCCGGCUCAACCGGGGAGGGCGGCUGCGAACUGGCCUUCUUGAGGGCGAUAGAGGGGGGCGGAAUUCCUGGUGUAGCGGUGAAAUGCGUAGAGAUCAGGAGGAACACCCGUGGCGAAGGCGGCCCCCUGGGUCGGCCCUGACGCUGAGGCGCGAAAGCGUGGGGAGCGAACGGGAUUAGAUACCCCGGUAGUCCACGCCGUAAACGAUGGUCACUAGGGGUGUGCGGUAUCGACCCCGCACGUGCCACAGCUAACGCAAGAAGUGACCCGCCUGGGGAGUACGGCCGCAAGGUUG
rnacentral:rRNA from 1 species